rnacentral:tRNA from 1 species
ACCUGGGUGGCUCAGUUGGUUAAGUGUCUGACUUCGGCUCAGGUCAUGAUCUCGCGGUCUGUGGGUUCGAGCCCCACGUCGGGUU